CAGGAGCCGUUCUUGAUUCAAGCAAUGAAGGCCAUAGGUAUCAUUUUCCUCGUGGCUGCUGCUGCUGCUGAGUCAUCGAGGCAAAUUACCACAAUUCACCUUCCAUCUCAUUGUGGCUCAAGUGGCUGCGAAGUGUUAUUCCAGUACAAGCUAACGCAACCGUGUGCGGCACAGUGCAUUUUAACCCAUAAAGAGCCGUGCAGUCCUGGCUGCACGUGCAUUCCAAGACCGGACUUAAAUGAUGGAUAUGAAGGAAUAUGUUUUAAUACAAGCAUACCCCUUCCACCUCAUUUUCUGAAUCUUUCCUGUACACAUCCUCCUGCUCUAUCUUCCACAAAGUGAAAAACAGACUCAGAAACAACUGAGCUCACUAUUCCUUUGCAAUAAAUAUGAGCUUGAGGUGUUGA